rnacentral:rRNA from 1 species
AUGUACUUAGCCAGUGCUACAAGACCUGACAUCUCUUUUGCUAUUAGCAAAGUGAGUCGGUUUGUCUCAAAACUAGGAGAUGUGCAUUGGAAAGCUUUAGAGAGAGUUUUGCGUUAUUUGAAAGGCACUGUGAAUUAUGGAAUUCACUACACUAGGCACCCAAAGGUGAUUGAAGGUUAUAGUGACUCAAACUGGAUCUCAGAUGCUGAUGAGAUAAAGGCCACGAGCGGAUAUGUGUGA